CAAGGAGCAAUUGCUGACCCUGCGAGCGGGAAUUGCAAGAGGAGGAGAAACCGGGGCAGCAGAGAGGUAGAGGCAAGGGAAAAUUAGAGCUAAGCGGGGCAAUGGGAAGGCGGAUUCAAGAACAUGUGGAGAAUGGCGCACCUACUUCUUUCUGUUGGCGCUGCUUUUCCGUUGCUGCUCUUCUUGUGAUGUGGCUCUUGUGGAAUGGCAGUGGAGUGCAGAUCUAGCUGAGUAGCUGACACUAAGUGUUGAAAGCUCAACCACAGGUGGGAUAGAGACCAAUAUCAGAAAGAGACAAUAGGUUAACCAUCUGGCAUGUCGAGACCAUCCAAGAACUGGCCGCUAGCCGAACUGCCUUCAAUGCAAGUGAUAUCCAAGGUAGAUGGCACAUUAGACCCUGUAAUAUAGGAGGACAUUUGAAUAUAAAUAGCAUCAGACCUAGAGAAUCUAUCAAGGAGAAAUUCACAUUUAAUGUAGUUUUUUUUGGCUUGUUUGUAUAGUUGUUCACGUGUUAUUUGAAAGUAGAAUUACAUACAUAUGUGAACAAUGUAAUUUAAGAAUAACACCGUGCCAUUUAGUAAAACACACAAAGUAACUUAUAUGUUCACUCUUGCUUAUUUAUUACUAUCAUA